AUGGGCGCAAGCCUGAUCCAGCCAUGCCGCGUGGGUGAUGAAGGCCUUAGGGUUGUAAAGCCCUUUCGGCGGGGAAGAUAAUGACGGUACCCGCAGAAGAAGCACUCGGCUAACUUCGUGCCAGCAGCCGCGGUAAUACGAAGGGGGCUAGCGUCGCUCGGAAUCACUGGGCGUAAAGCGCACGUAGGCGGGUCCUUAAGUCAGGGGUGAAAUCCUGGAGCUCAACUCCAGAACUGCCUCUGAUACUGAGGAUCUCGAGUUCGGGAGAGGUGAGUGGAACUGCGAGUGUAGAGGUGAAAUUCGUAGAUAUUCGCAAGAACACCAGUGGCGAAGGCGGCUCACUGGCCCGAUACUGACGCUGAGGCGCGAAAGCGUGGGGAGCAAACAGGAUUAGAUACCCUGGUAGUCCACGCCGUAAACGAUGGAUGCUAGCCGUUGGCGGGUUUACCUGUCAGUGGCGCAGCUAACGCAAUAAGCAUCCCGCCUGGGGAGUAC
rnacentral:rRNA from 1 species